UCAUCAUCGCACAGGGAGUGAAGGUGUGAUCCUUCAUGUGUUGACAGGGGUUAAGCGACUGGCCAGUGAUAAUACAGCUGUUUCAGGCACUCCAUCACUUGAUAAUUACAUUACACUGGUACUCCAUUGCUUCCACUUGCUCCUAGUAAUCUUGUUAAAAUGCCAGUGAUUGGAAUCACAGUGACAGAGAGACGAAUGACAGCGAGGCAGCCGCCAGUGGAGCCAAGCCCUCUGCACAUCUGACUGAAUGUUUUAGAGUGCAUUAAGCUUUUGUCAGGUAACCAUGGAGCUGCAUAGGCAUACAGACAUAGAGUGGAAUCACUGCACAAUAGCUGCACCCCUCUCCAUUAAAUUAAAGAUGGCUCCUCUUUUUUCCUUUUCAGACUAGCAUUAAAGGUUUGUGAUCAAGUUA